CGCGGGGUGGAGCAGUCUGGUAGCUCGUCGGGCUCAUAACCCGAAGGUCGUCGGUUCAAAUCCGGCCCCCGCAA
rfam:Pseudomonas sp. 1 R 17 genome assembly PSEFL294_LIB5394, contig: PSEFL294_LIB5394_000044